AUUGAACGCUGGCGGCAUGCUUUACACAUGCAAGUCGAACGGUAACAGGGUGCUUGCACCGCUGACGAGUGGCGAACGGGUGAGUAAUACAUCGGAAUGUACCCAGUAAUGGGGGAUAACGCUUCGAAAGGAGUGCUAAUACCGCAUACGCCCUGAGGGGGAAAGUGGGGGACCGCAAGGCCUCACGUUAUUGGAGCAGCCGAUGGCUGAUUAGCUAGUUGGCGAGGUAAACGCUCACCAAGGCGACGAUCAGUAGCGGGUCUUAGAGGACGAUCCGCCACACUGGAACUGAGACACGGUCCAGACUCCUACGGGAGGCAGCAGUGGGGAAUAUUGGACAAUGGGCGCAAGCCUGAUCCAGCCAUGCCGCGUGUGUGAAGAAGGCCUUCGGGUUGUAAAGCACUUUCAGUAGGGAGGAAGCGUUGUGUGUUAAUAGUACACAGCGUUGACGUUACCUACAGAAGAAGCACCGGCUAACUCUGUGCCAGCCGCCGCGGUAAGAC
rnacentral:rRNA from 1 species